rnacentral:rRNA from 1 species
CACGUAGGGCGCAAGCGUUGUCCGGAAUUAUUGGGCGUAAAGAGCUCGUAGGCGGUCUGUUGCGUCUGCUGUGAAAACCCGGGGCUUAACCCCUGGCUUGCAGUGGAUACGGACAGACUAGAGGUAGGUAGGGGAGAAUGGAAUUCCCGGUGUAGCGGUGAAAUGCGCAGAUAUCGGGAGGAACACCGGUGGCGAAGGCGGUUCUCUGGGCCUUACCUGACGCUGAGGUGCGAAAGCGUGGGGAGCAAACAGG